rnacentral:tRNA from 5 species
GACGUGGCCGAAUGGUAGACGCAGCGGACACAAAAUCCGCCUGGAAUUCCAGUGCGGGUCGAGCCCCGCCGUCC